AUCGCUUCUCGGCUCUCUGAGCUAAGAUCAUGUGUAGUAUCUGUUCUUUGCAGUGUAAUUUCUGCAACGGUCUCUGAACUGAGACCAAUGAAAUUACCUGUAUUUUUCUCCUCCGGACGGGUGCUGUGAGCUUGCUCAACCCCGUCCACGGGUCGGCCUCGUAUUGCAUUACCUCGAGGAUUGGCCCACUGUCC